GCUGAUGCGUUGUUGGGUAGGGGAGCGUUCUGUAAGCCUGUGAAGGUGGCCUGUGAGGGUUGCUGGAGGUAUCAGAAGUGCGAAUGCUGACAUAAGUAACGAUAAAGCGGGUGAAAAGCCCGCUCGCCGGAAGACCAAGGGUUCCUGUCCAACGUUAAUCGGGGCAGGGUGAGUCGACCCCUAAGGCGAGGCCGAAAGGCGUAGUCGAUGGGAAACGGGUUAAUAUUCCCGUACUUGGUGUUACUGCGAAGGGGGGACGGAGAAGGCUAUGUUGGCCGGGCGACGGUUGUCCCGGUUUAAGCGUGUAGGUGUGUGUUCCAGGUAAAUCCGGUUCACUUUAACACUGAGGCGUGACGACGAGGCACUACGGUGCUGAAGCAACAAAUGCCCUGCUUCCAGGAAAAGCCUCUAAGCAUCAGGUAACAUCAAAUCGUACCCCAAACCGACACAGGUGGUCAGGUAGAGAAUACCAAGGCGCUUGAGAGAACUCGGGUGAAGGAACUAGGCAAAAUGGUGCCGUAACUUCGGGAGAAGGCACGCUGACAUGUAGGUGAAGUGAUUUACUCAUGGAGCUGAAGUCAGUCGAAGAUACCAGCUGGCUGCAACUGUUUAUUAAAAACACAGCACUGUGCAAACACGAAAGUGGACGUAUACGGUGUGACGCCUGCCCGGUGCCGGAAGGUUAAUUGAUGGGGUCAGCGCAAGCGAAGCUCCUGAUCGAAGCCCCGGUAAACGGCGGCCGUAACUAUAACGGUCCUAAGGUAGCGAAAUUCCUUGUCGGGUAAGUUCCGACCUGCACGAAUGGCGUAAUGAUGGCCAGGCUGUCUCCACCCGAGACUCAGUGAAAUUGAACUCGCUGUGAAGAUGCAGUGUACCCGCGGCAAGACGGAAAGACCCCGUGAACCUUUACUAUAGCUUGACACUGAACAUUGAGCCUUGAUGUGUAGGAUAGGUGGGAGGCUUUGAAGUGUGGACGCCAGUCUGCAUGGAGCCGACCUUGAAAUACCACCCUUUAAUGUUUGAUGUUCUAACGUGGACCCGUAAUCCGGGUUGCGGACAGUGUCUGGUGGGUAGUUUGACUGGGGCGGUCUCCUCCUAAAGAGUAACGGAGGAGCACGAAGGUUGGCUAAUCCUGGUCGGACAUCAGGAGGUUAGUGCAAUGGCAUAAGCCAGCUUGACUGCGAGCGUGACGGCGCGAGCAGGUGCGAAAGCAGGUCAUAGUGAUCCGGUGGUUCUGAAUGGAAGGGCCAUCGCUCAACGGAUAAAAGGUACUCCGGGGAUAACAGGCUGAUACCGCCCAAGAGUUCAUAUCGACGGCGGUGUUUGGCACCUCGAUGUCGGCUCAUCACAUCCUGGGGCUGAAGUAGGUCCCAAGGGUAUGGCUGUUCGCCAUUUAAAGUGGUACGCGAGCUGGGUUUAGAACGUCGUGAGACAGUUCGGUCCCUAUCUGCCGUGGGCGCUGGAGAACUGAGGGGGGCUGCUCCUAGUACGAGAGGACCGGAGUGGACGCAUCACUGGUGUUCGGGUUGUCAUGCCAAUGGCACUGCCCGGUAGCUAAAUGCGGAAGAGAUAAGUGCUGAAAGCAUCUAAGCACGAAACUUGCCCCGAGA
rnacentral:rRNA from 1 species